rnacentral:tRNA from 1 species
AGAACUUUACGUUAUUUAAACUAAAAGCCUUCAAAGCUUUAAAAAAAAGUUAACUCUUAAGUUCUA